CGUGGGUGAUCUGCCCUGCACUCUGGGAUAAGCUUGGGAAACUGGGUCUAAUACCGGAUAUGACCGCAUGCCGCAUGGUGUGUGGUGGAAAGAUUUAUCGGUGCAGGAUGGGCCCGCGGCCUAUCAGCUUGUUGGUGGGGUAAUGGCCUACCAAGGCGACGACGGGUAGCCGACCUGAGAGGGUGACCGGCCACACUGGGACUGAGACACGGCCCAGACUCCUACGGGAGGCAGCAGUGGGGAAUAUUGCACAAUGGGCGGAAGCCUGAUGCAGCGACGCCGCGUGAGGGAUGAAGGCCUUCGGGUUGUAAACCUCUUUCAGCAGGGACGAAGCGUGAGUGACGGUACCUGCAGAAGAAGCACCGGCUAACUACGUGCCAGCAGCCGCGGUAAUACGUAGGGUGCGAGCGUUGUCCGGAAUUACUGGGCGUAAAGAGUUCGUAGGCGGUUUGUCGCGUCGUUUGUGAAAACCCGGGGCUCAACUUCGGGCUUGCAGGCGAUACGGGCAGACUUGAGUGUUUCAGGGGAGACUGGAAUUCCUGGUGUAGCGGUGAAAUGCGCAGAUAUCAGGAGGAACACCGGUGGCGAAGGCGGGUCUCUGGGAAACAACUGACGCUGAGGAACGAAAGCGUGGGUAGCAAACAGGAUUAGAUACCCUGGUAGUCCACGCCGUAAACGGUGGGCGCUAGGUGUGGGUUCCUUCCACGGGAUCUGUGCCG
rnacentral:rRNA from 1 species